CUAGGAUUAGAUACCCUAUUAUUUAAAAUGUAUUUUAUAGAAUUUAAGUAGUAAGAGUUAGGAGCUCGAAACUUAAAAAAUUUGGCGGUAUUUUAGUCUAUUCAGAGGAAUUUGUUUUGUAAUCGAUAGUCCUCGAUGUACCUUACUUAUUUUUGUUGUCAGUUUAUAUAUCGUCGUUAUUAGAAUAUUUUAUAAGAAUUAUUAAUUUUCAUAAUUUAUAAAAAUAAAAUAUAUCAGAUCAAGGUGUAGCUAAUAUUUAAGAAAUAAUGAAUUACAAUAAAAUUAUUUAAAUGGAUUUUAAUUUGAAAUAUUUAAUGAAAGUGGAUUUGAUAGUAAAUAUAUAAAGAUUAAUAUUUUGAUUUUAGCUCUAAUAUAUGUACACAUCGCCCGUCACUCUUAUUAAUAAAGUAAGAUAAGUCGUAACAUAGUAGAUGUACUGGAAAGUGUAUCUAGAAUG
rnacentral:rRNA from 1 species